rnacentral:rRNA from 1 species
AUUGAACGCUGGUGGCAUGCUUUACACAUGCAAGUCGGACGGCAGCACAGAGAAGCUUGCUUCUUGGGUGGCGAGUGGCGAACGGGUGAGUAAUAUAUCGGAACGUACCGAGUAAUGGGGGAUAACUAAUCGAAAGAUUAGCUAAUACCGCAUAUUCUCUGAGGAGGAAAGCAGGGGACCUUCGGGCCUUGCGUUAUUCGAGCGGCCGAUAUCUGAUUAGCUAGUUGGUGGGGUAAAGGCCUACCAAGGCGACGAUCAGUAGCGGGUCUGAGAGGAUGAUCCGCCACACUGGGACUGAGACACGGCCCAGACUCCUACGGGAGGCAGCAGUGGGGAAUUUUGGACAAUGGGCGCAAGCCUGAUCCAGCCAUGCCGCGUGUCUGAAGAAGGCCUUCGGGUUGUAAAGGACUUUUGUCAGGGAAGAAAAGGCUGUUGCUAAUAUCGACAGCUGAUGACGGUACCUGAAGAAUAAGCACCGGCUAACUACGUGCCAGCAGCCGCGGUAAUACGUAGGGUGCGAGCGUUAAUCGGAAUUACUGGGCGUAAAGCGAGCGCAGACGGUUACUUAAGCAGGAUGUGAAAUCCCCGGGCUCAACCUGGGAACUGCGUUCUGAACUGGGUGACUAGAGUGUGUCAGAGGGAGGUAGAAUUCCACGUGUAGCAGUGAAAUGCGUAGAGAUGUGGAGGAAUACCGAUGGCGAAGGCAGCCUCCUGGGAUAACACUGACGUUCAUGCUCGAAAGCGUGGGUAGCAAACAGG